UACGUAGGGUGCAAGCGUUAAUCGGAAUUACUGGGCGUAAAGCGUGCGCAGGCGGUUUUGUAAGUCUGAUGUGAAAUCCCCGGGCUCAACCUGGGAAUUGCAUUGGAGACUGCAAGGCUAGAAUCUGGCAGAGGGGGGUAGAAUUCCACGUGUAGCAGUGAAAUGCGUAGAGAUGUGGAGGAACACCGAUGGCGAAGGCAGCCCCCAGGGUCAAGAUUGACGCUCAUUCACGAAAGCGUGGGGAGCAAACAGG
rnacentral:rRNA from 1 species